rnacentral:rRNA from 1 species
AGCUAAUAGAUACCCUGGUAGUCCCAGCAGUAAACGGUGCGCGUUUGGUGUGGAGAAUUCAAACUCUCUCUGUGCCGGAGCUAACGCGUUAAACGCGCCGCCUGGGGAGUACGGUCGCAAGACUAAAACUCAAAGAAAUUGACGGGGGCCCGCACAAGCGGUGGAGUAUGUGGCUUAAUUCGAUGCAACGCGAAAACCUUACCUGGAUUUGACAUGUAUCGCUAAGGUGGUGAAAGCCAUCGAGGGUAGCAAUACCCACUUUACACAGGUGCUGCAUGGCUGUCGUCAGCUCGUGUCGUGAGAUGUUGGGUUAAGUCCCGCAACGAGCGCAACCCUUGUAUGCUGUCUCG